AAGUUUAGGCUAACACACUAAACCGAGGGCCUUCAAAGCCCAAAAUAGAGAUCACUCUCUAACUUCU
rnacentral:tRNA from 1 species